rnacentral:rRNA from 1 species
GCACAAGCAGCGGAGCGUGUGGUUUAAUUCGUUGCUACACGAAGAACUUACCUGGGUUUGACAUAUAGGUUGUAGGGAACUGAAAAGGGACCGACCCUUCGGGGAGCCUAUACAGGUGUUGCAUGGCUGUCGUCAGCUCGUGUCGUGAGAUGUUCGGUUAAGUCCGCUAACGAGCGCAACCCUCGUCGUAUGUUAUAUGUGUCAUACGAGACUGCCGGUAAAAGCCGGAGGAAGGUGAGGAUGAUGUCAAGUCAGCAUGGCCUUUAUAUCCAGGGCUACACACACGCUACAAUGGUCUGUACAAUGGGUAGCCAAGCCGCGAGGCGGAGCCAAUCCUGAAAGCAGGCCUCAGUUCAGAUUGCAGUCUGCAACUCGACUGCAUGAAGCCGGAGUUGCUAGUAACCGCAGGUCAGCAAUACUGCGGUGAAUACGUUCCCGGGUCUU